UACGUAGGGGGCUAGCGUUGUCCGGAAUCAUUGGGCGUAAAGGGCGUGUAGGCGGCCCGGUAAGUCCGCUGUGAAAGUCGGGGGCUCAACCCUCGAAUGCCGGUGGAUACUGUCGGGCUAGAGUGCGGAAGAGGCGAGUGGAAUUCCUGGUGUAGCGGUGAAAUGCGCAGAUAUCAGGAGGAACACCAAUUGCGAAGGCAGCUCGCUGGGACGUAACUGACGCUGAGACGCGAAAGCGUGGGGAGCAAACAGG
rnacentral:rRNA from 1 species